rnacentral:rRNA from 1 species
AGAGUUUGAUCAUGGCUCAGGAUGAACGCUGGCGGCGUGCCUAACACAUGCAAGUCGAGCGAUUUACUUCGGUAAAGAGCGGCGGACGGGUGAGUAACGCGUGGGUAACCUGCCCUAUACACACGGAUAACAUACCGAAAGGUAUGCUAAUACGAGAUAAUAUAAGAGAUUCACAUGGAUUUCUUAUCAAAGCUGAGGCGGUAUAGGAUGGACCCGCGUCUGAUUAGCUAGUUGGUAAGGUAACGGCUUACCAAGGCGACGAUCAGUAGCCGACCUGAGAGGGUGAUCGGCCACAUUGGAACUGAGACACGGUCCAAACUCCUACGGGAGGCAGCAGUGGGGAAUAUUGCACAAUGGGCGAAAGCCUGAUGCAGCAACGCCGCGUGAGUGAUGAAGGCCUUCGGGUCGUAAAACUCUGUCCUCAAGGAAGAUAAUGACGGUACUUGAGGAGGAAGCCCCGGCUAACUACGUGCCAGCAGCCGCGGUAAUACGUAGGGGGCUAGCGUUAUCCGGAUUUACUGGGCGUAAAGGGUGCGUAGGUGGCCUCUUAAGUCAGGAGUGAAAGGCUACGGCUUAACCGUAGUAAGCUCUUGAAACUGGGAGACUUGAGUGCAGGAGAGGAAAGUGGAAUUCCUAGUGUAGCGGUGAAAUGCGUAGAUAUUAGGAGGAACACCAGUAGCGAAGGCGGCUUUCUGGACUGUAACUGACACUGAGGCACGAAAGCGUGGGGAGCAAACAGGAUUAGAUACCCUGGUAGUCCACGCCGUAAACGAUGAGUACUAGGUGUCGGGGGUUACCCCCCUCGGUGCCGCAGCUAACGCAUUAAGUACUCCGCCUGGGGAGUACGCUCGCAGAGUGAAACUCAAAUGAAUUGACGG